rnacentral:rRNA from 1 species
CACGUAGGCACCAAGCGUUAUCCGGAUUUAUUGGGCGUAAAGAGCUCGUAGGCGGUUCGGUAAGUCGGGUGUGAAAACUCUGGGCUCAACCCAGAGAGGCCACCCGAUACUGCUGUGACUAGAGUGCGGUAGGGGAGCGGGGAAUUCCUGGUGUAGCGGUGAAAUGCGCAGAUAUCAGGAGGAACACCGAUGGCGAAGGCAGGUCUCUGGGCAUUAACUGACGCUGAGGAGUGAAAGCAUGGGGAGCGAACAGG